rnacentral:rRNA from 1 species
UAAAGGGCCGUAGGCGGUUUAAUAAGUCAGUGGUGAAAGCCCAUCGCUCAACGGUGGAACGGCCAUUGAUACUGUUAAACUUGAAUUAUUAGGAAGUAACUAGAAUAUGUAGUGUAGCGGUGAAAUGCUUAGAGAUUACAUGGAAUACCAAUUGCGAAGGCAGGUUACUACUAAUGGAUUGACGCUGAUGGACGAAAGCGUGGGUAGCGAACAGGAUUAGAUACCCGUGU